GGGAUUGCCUCAGUAACGGCGAGUGAAGCGGCAACAGCUCAAAUUUGAAAUCUGGCUCCUUCGGGGUCCGAAUUGUAAUUUGUAGAGAGUGCUUCGGGCGAGACCUCGGUCUAAGUCCAUUGGAACAUGGUGUCAUAGAGGGUGAGAAUCCCGUAUGCGACCGUGGCUCGAGCCCAUGUGAAGCCUCUUCGACGAGUCGAGUUGUUUGGGAAUGCAGCUCAAAAUGGGUGGUAAAUUUCAUCUAAAGCUAAAUACUGGCUGGAGACCGAUAGCGCACAAGUAGAGUGAUCGAAAGAUGAAAAGCACUUUGGAAAGAGAGUCAAACAGUACGUGAAAUUGUUGAAAGGGAAGCGCUUGCAACCAGACCUGCCCGUAGGCGAUCMGCCGCUGUURUCAGCGGUGUACUCGCUCUGCGAUCAGGCCAGCAUCGGUUUCGGCGGUCGGAUAAAGGCCUUGGGAAUGUAGCUUCCCUUCGGGGGAGUCUUAUAGCCCUCGGUGYAAUGCGGCCAGCCGGGACCGAGGACCGCGCUUCGGCUAGGAUGCUGGCGUAAUGGUUGUAAGCGACCCGUCUUGAAACACGGACCAAGGAGUCUAACAUCUAUGCGAGUGUUUGGGUGUCAAACCCAURCGCGGAAUGAAAGUGAACGGAGGUGAGAACCCUUAAGGGCGCAUCAUCGACCGAUCCAGAUGUCUUCGGAUGGAUUUGAGUAUGAGCAUAGCUGUUGGGACCCGAAAGAUGGUGAACUAUGCCUGAAUAGGGUGAAGCCAGAGGAAACUCUGGUGGAGGCUCGCAGCGGUUCUGACGUGCAAAUCGAUCGUCAAAUUUGGGUAUAGGGGCGAAAGACUAAUCGAACCA
rnacentral:rRNA from 1 species